AAGAAGAGAGAAAAGGAGAAAAGAUAUCAGAUUAGAAAUCGAGACCACCGAUUAUU
rnacentral:sRNA from 1 species